rnacentral:lncRNA from 1 species
ACCUACCCUCUUUCACACCUUUAUUUUUUUUUCACCAGCAAGUUGCCAACCUUUUCACUGAGUGAAGUCUACUGUGUGAUUUCUACCUAUUUCUAAUCCGUGAACCCUGCUGAAGAAAAGCAUACAAGCAAACAUAUGAGUAAUAUCUUACAGGCCUCUCUACAAAAUAAAUCUCCCACCCUCUGCGAUGCUAAAAGAAGAGUCAUUAACAGCUGUUCGGUAAUGUUUUACCUGAAGCUGCAGAGAAUCCCGUGAAGAAUGUAUAAUCGUCGGCAUUUCGCUUACUUCCACACCGACAGAAGGAAAUGUACACAUCUACGCCCUGAAGAAUUGACUCUGUUCUGUAAAUGACAUAUGGUGGAGAAUCCUUUUGGAAAAUAAAUACUUCUGUUUUCAUGCUGAACA